AUGUCUUACAGAUUUUUUUUCCAUAAGAGAUUUUCCAACUCUCACCAGUCUUCCCCCUUGCGCCGUUCUUCAUCUUCCUUCUUCUCCAUCCAGAAACUCACAUUUGUAGUAUUAAUAUAUUCCAUAUGCUUUACCAUAAACCAAGUGGGUGCUUCCAUCCAUGAAUAUCAAAACCAAAGCUUUUUUCGCUGUUCUAAUUCUUUCUUCUUCCAUGGUGGAAGCGAAGGCCUUUAUGCUUCAAAGCUUCAUGUUGAUCCUGACAAAAAGCCUUCUCCUGAGGAAAAUCAUCUCAAUGGCAAGUCUUUUAUCAGGAUUUUGUCCAUGUUGUACUUGAAGAUUGUGGAUCUUUUUAGGGGACCAAUGUUGGCUUCAUUUUGUUUUCUGUUGAGAUUGUGUCAGGAGCAAACAAAUUUACUUAUGUUCUGUCAUAAUGUACAAAAGGCUUUGCUGCAAUCAGAUGUUCAAUCCAAAACUGAUAAAACUCCUCUAACAGUGCUGAUUAUGGCUCACAGGCAGUGGUUAGUUUUGUGCUGCAGCAGGAACUUCAUGCUGAAUUCUCAUUAGUUGCCAAGGAGGAUUCUAAAGAUCUUCGCAAAGAUGGUGCCCAAGAAAUAAUAAAGCGCAUUACAAAACUUGUGAACGAUUCUUUAACUAGUGAUGGAUCAUACAAUGUUACUUUAUCACAGAAGACGUUCUCAAGGCCAUUGACAGUAGCAUAUCUGAAGGUGGUUGCCAAGGUCGAUAUUGGGUUUUAGAUCCUAUAGAUGGUACUAAAGGCCAUGACUGCUGCAGGGAGAUGUUUAGAUUUGCUUCCAAUCUUUUGUUAUUUAGUAUAGAAGGAUUGAUUGGAGAGCAAAAAAAGUGGGCUACCUAAACAGUACUUCAUGCAAGAUAAACCACAAGUCUGUCUUGGUUUUGAUAUAUGUUAUAUAUGGAUUUCUUUACAAUUUGGUGUAAAAGAAGUUGGCUGCCUUUUCUUUGCUGAAGUUGGUGGUGGGACUUAUAUGCAGCCACUUGAUGGUUCUUCGGUAGUGAAGGUUAUAAUGAUUUUAUAAUUUAUUAUAAUUUAUUGUUAUUAAUCUGAGUACGUAUUUGCAACUUGUACAAUUUUAUGGGAUCCAGGUGCAAGUAAGUGUUGUUGAAAAUCCUGAAGAAGCAUCAUUCUUUGAGCCAUAUGAAGCAGCACACUCCAUGCAUGAUUUAUCUAGUUUGAUUGCCCAAGUACACCCCCUCUUUCUUUCUCUACACACACACACACAGAGACACAUAUAGACCAGCACUUGGAUAAUGCACUGAAAAUGUUGAGAUGUAAACAGAAACUUGGUGUCAUAGCACUGCCGGUUAGAAUUGACAGUCAGGCAAAAAUAUGGUGCCCUGUCCAGAGGAGAUGGAGCCAUAUAUCUGCGUUUUCCUUACAAAGGGUAUCGAGAGAAAAUAUGGGAUCAUGCUGCUGGGUGUAUUGUUGUAACUGAUAUGGACCAAUUUCACUCCAUCAUUGGCUUUCUUUCAAAGUGCUAAGGAUUAGUUGCCUGACAUUGGUUUAUUUUUCUGCCCUUUCACCUAUUUGCAACUCAUGGUUUGCAGAAGCUGGGGGUGUGGUUAUAGAUACUGCAUGGCAGCCCUUGGAUUUUUCCAAGGGAAAGCAUCUUGAUAUGGACACAGGCAUCAUUGUCACUAACCAGAAGUUAAUGCCAUUACUGUUGAAUGUAGUUAAAAAAUCCCUGAAAGAGAAAGCUCCAUCGUCAUGAUCUAUUUUAAAGGCAGGCUUUAUCCUUUCCUCUUAAUUAUACACUUGGACAAUAUUGUUGUUAUUAUGUAGUGUACUACUAAUUAUGCAUUUGGAUAAUAUUAUUAAUUUCUAGUAUUAAUUGUGAUUUGGAAGUUAA